GCAUAUCAAUAAGCGGAGGAAAAGAAACCAACAGGGAUUGCCUUAGUAACGGCGAGUGAAGCGGCAAAAGCUCAAAUUUGAAAUCUGGCACCUUCGGUGUCCGAGUUGUAAUUUGAAGAAGGUAACUUUGGAGUUGGCUCUUGUCUAUGUUCCUUGGAACAGGACGUCACAGAGGGUGAGAAUCCCGUGCGAUGAGAUGCCCAAUUCUAUGUAAAGUGCUUUCGAAGAGUCGAGUUGUUUGGGAAUGCAGCUCUAAGUGGGUGGUAAAUUCCAUCUAAAGCUAAAUAUUGGCGAGAGACCGAUAGCGAACAAGUACAGUGAUGGAAAGAUGAAAAGAACUUUGAAAAGAGAGUGAAAAAGUACGUGAAAUUGUUGAAAGGGAAGGGCUUGAGAUCAGACUUGGUAUUUUGCGAUCCUUUCCUUCUUGGUUGGGUUCCUCGCAGCUUACUGGGCCAGCAUCGGUUUGGAUGGUAGGAUAAUGACUAAGGAAUGUGGCUCUACUUCGGUGGAGUGUUAUAGCCUUGGUUGAUACUGCCUGUCUAUACCGAGGACUGCGUCUUUUGACUAGGAUGUUGGCAUAAUGAUCUUAAGCCAUCCGUCUUGAAACACGGACCUUAUU
rnacentral:rRNA from 1 species